CAGUACCACGGGAAUACAGAGGGUGCGAGCGUUAAUCGGAUUUACUGGGCGUAAAGCGUGCGUAGGCGGCUUCUUAAGUCGGAUGUGAAAUCCCUGAGCUUAACUUAGGAAUUGCAUUCGAUACUGGGAAGCUAGAGUAUGGGAGAGGAUGGUAGAAUUCCAGGUGUAGCGGUGAAAUGCGUAGAGAUCUGGAGGAAUACCGAUGGCGAAGGCAGCCAUCUGGCCUAAUACUGACGCUGAGGUACGAAAGCAUGGGGAGCAAACAGGAUUAGAUACCCCAGUAGUCCCUGUCUCUUAUACA
rnacentral:rRNA from 1 species